rnacentral:rRNA from 1 species
UAACGGCCGCAGUAUUUUAACUGUGCAAAGGUAGCAUAAUCAUUAGUCUUUUAAUUGAAGGCUUGUAUGAAUGGUUGGACGAGAUAUUAACUGUUUCAUAAAAAUUGAAUUAGAAUUUUAUUUUUUAGUUAAAAAGCUAAAAUUUUUUUAAAAGACGAGAAGACCCUAUAGAUCUUUAUAUUUUAUAUAUUAUAAUUAUUUAGAUUAUUUAAUUUAUGAUUAUAUAAAGUAUUUUGUUGGGGUGACAUUAAAAUUUAAUUAACUUUUAAUUUAUAGUUACAUUAAUUUAUGAAUUUUUGAUCCAUUAAUAAUGAUUAGAAAAUUAAGUUACCUUAGGGAUAACAGCGUAAUUUUUUUGAAGAGUUCAUAUCGAUAAAAAAGAUUGCGACCUCGAUGUUGGAUUAAGAUAUAAUUUUGGGUGCAGCAAUUCAAUUAUUAAGUC